UCAAAUCUUUAGGCUAUUCGAUUGUCCUUGUUUUAGGUUAGUUUUCUUUCUUUCUUUUUUUCCUUCUUAAAUUUUGCUGAAGAUGAGCAUCUGAAGCUCAUCUUUGGGCACUUGAUCUUUUGAUUAGAUUCCAUCCAUUAAGGGUCCUCGAUUCAUGAGAGUCUUCCUUAGAGGGAUCCAAGGUUGAGAAGAUGCAUAAUUUUGCCCCCUUCCGUCUGGCCUCCACCCUCACUCAUGAGGACUUCGAGGCCAUCUACCUCCAAUAUUAGAUUCCUCUAGAAUUCAUAUUGGAGUUCACUGAUCUUGACAACCGAUAGCUAGGCCUUCUUGAGCUUAGGUUGGACUCUACGAAGAGUCAUUGAAAGCCAACCUCAGAUUAUCUAUUCAUUUUUUUAUUGUAGAUCUUCUUAGAGUCUUUCAAAUAGCUCCCUAUAGAAUGGCACCGAACUCAUGGCUCCUUAGAGUGGCCUUUCUUUCUUAUUGUUUCCUUUUUGGUGCUAAACCAACCAACCAUCUCUUUCAGUCAUAUUUCUCAUUUAAAGAGCACCCCAAGGAGGUUAGAUGGAUGUAUGUUUCUCCUCGGAUGGGACAACAUCUCAUCUGAGAUGCUCAUUCCUCUAUUUAUAACUAGAAGGAGCAUUAUUUUUUUGUUUCAACCAAGCAGCCUUGGGGUUUUGAUACUUCAUGAGACAGAUCUUGGAGGUUGUUGAAUAAAGCUUCAAUACUCUCAAACACCGAAGAGGAAGCCUUGAAGUUCAUUUUCAACUGUGCUACUCC
rnacentral:lncRNA from 1 species